UACGUAGGGGGCAAGCGUUGUCCGGAAUCAUUGGGCGUAAAGGGCGCGUAGGCGGUUUUGUAAGUCGAAUGUGAAAGCCCAGGGCUCAACCUUGGAAGUGCAUCCGAAACUGCGAAACUUGAAUCCUGGAGAGGGUGGUGGAAUGCGCAGAUAUCAGGAGGAACACCGGUGGCGAAGGCGGGUCUCUGGGCAGUAACUGACGCUGAGGAGCGAAAGCGUGGGGAGCGAACAGG
rnacentral:rRNA from 1 species